rnacentral:misc_RNA from 1 species
UCCGUUUUGUCAACGGCAGUCUUGCUAGAGUGCUCUUGCGUAGCAACUAACAAUAGGGGUUGCGCUCGUUGCGGGACUUAACCCAACAUCUCACGACACGAGCUGACGACAACCAUGCACCACCUGUCUCAACUUUCCCCGAAGGGCACCUAAUGUAUCUCUACUUCGUUAGUUGGAUGUCAAGUCCUGGUAAGGUUCUUCGCGUUGCGUCGAAUUAAACCACAUAAUCCACUGCUUGUGCGGGCCCCCGUCAAUUCCUUUGAGUUUCAACCUUGCGGUCGUACUCCCCAGGUGGAAUACUUAUUGUGUUAACUGCGGCACGGAAGGGGUCAGUCCUCCCACACCUAGUAUUCAUCGUUUACAGCGUGGACUAC